rnacentral:rRNA from 1 species
GGUAAGGUGAUAUGAACCGUUAUAACCGGCGAUACCCGAAUGGGGAAACCCAGUGUGACUCGUCACACUAUCAUUAACUGAAUCCAUAGGUUAAUGAGGCGAACCGGGGGAACUGAAACAUCUAAGUACCCCGAGGAAAAGAAAUCAACCGAGAUUCCCCCAGUAGCGGCGAGCGAACGGGGAGGAGCCCAGAGCCUGAAUCAGCAUGUGUGUUAGUGGAAGCGUCUGGAAAGGCGCGCGAUACAGGGUGACAGCCCCGUACACAAAAGCGCAUGUGCUGUGAGCUCGAUGAGUAGGGCGGGACACGUGGUAUCCUGUCUGAAUAUGGGGGGACCAUCCUCCAAGGCUAAAUACUCCUGACUGACCGAUAGUGAACCAGUACCGUGAGGGAAAGGCGAAAAGAACCCCGGCGAGGGGAGUGAAAAAGAACCUGAAACCGU